rfam:Powassan virus strain Nadezdinsk-1991 from Russia, complete genome.
UGGCCCAGUGCGGCAGCACACUCAGUGACGGGAAAGUGGUCGCUCCCGACGUAACUGGGUAAAAACGAACUUUGUGAGACCAA